UACGUAGGGGGCAAGCGUUGUCCGGAUUUAUUGGGCGUAAAGAGCGUGUAGGCGGCCAGGUAGGUCCGUUGUGAAAACUCGAGGCUCAACCUCGAGACGUCGGUGGAAACCCUUUGGCUAGAGUCCGGAAGAGGAGAGUGGAAUUCCUGGUGUAGCGGUGAAAUGCGCAGAUAUCGGGAGGAACACCAGCGGCGAAGGCGGCACUCUGGGCUGGUACUGACGCUGAGGCGCGAAAGCGUGGGGAGCAAACAGG
rnacentral:rRNA from 1 species